rnacentral:rRNA from 1 species
AACGAACGCUGGCGGCGUGGAUAAGGCAUGCAAGUCGAACGGGAACGCGUGGAUAGCAAUAUUCGCGCGUUCUAGUGGCGAAAGGGUGCGUAACACGUAGCUUACCUACCUCGAAGUGGGGGACAGCCCGGCGAAAGCCGGGUUAAUACCGCAUGUGAUCGCGAGAUCAAAGCCGGGGAUCCGCAAGGACCUGGCGCUUCGAGAUGGGGCCGCGGCCUAUCAGGUAGUUGGCGGGGUAAUGGCCCACCAAGCCGAUGACGGGUAGCUGGUCUGAGAGGACGACCAGCCACACUGGAACUGAGACACGGUCCAGACACCUACGGGUGGCAG